AUGGAGGAUGAUCGGGUGGAAGGGGAUGAGGAGGAAAAUUGGGAUCAUCAUGGCCCAGAUCCGAAUCUGGAGGAUGCGUUUGAAGGCCUAAACUUACAUGGUGAGGAGGAGGAAGACCUAGAUCUUUCAGGGGAGGUUGAUGAGUUAAUCAGGGAUGUGAGGUGGCUGGCUCUCUUUAGGGUUCAUACCCUACGCCCGUUCAGUUACGCGGCCCUGUUAAACUCCAUGAGGAAUGCUUGGGCGUGUGCUCAAGGUGUGACGUUCAAUAUCAAGGGACCUAAUUUGUUCUUGGCGCAAUGUCAUUGUUUGGGAGACUGGAAGAGGGUUAUGGAAGGAGGACCGUGGCAGUUUAGGAGAGAUCCGGUGGUUUUGGUUGAAUAUGAUGGGUUUACUAAUGUCUCUGAUUACUCGUUGGACAUGUAUCCAAUAUGGGCAAGGAUCAAGGGCCUGCCAGAUGGGCUAACGAGGAAGAAAGAACUGGCCGAGAAGGUUGCAAAGAAGGUAGGGGAGCCUCCGUUUACGGCGAUGGUCAAUGAAGGCAAGAUCAAUCCUUAG
rnacentral:rRNA from 1 species